AGUGAACGCUGGCGGCGUUCCUAAUACAUGCAAGUCGAACGAAGUGGCGCACGGGUGAGUAAUAUAUAGUUAAUCUGCCCUACACAGAGGAACAACAGGUGGAAACGACUGCUAAUACCUCAUAGUUUAGGAUGAGACUAUAUCGUAUCAGCUAGUUGGUAAGGUGAUGGCUUACCAAGGCUAUGACGCGUAACUGGUCUGAGAUGAUGAUCACUCACAUUGGAACUGAGCCACGGUCCAACCUCCUAAGGGAGGCAGCAGUAAGGAAUAUUGAGCAGUGGGUGAAGCCCUGACGCAGCAACGCCUCGUGGAGGUUGACCCUUUUCGGAACGUAAACUCCUUUUAGCAGGAAAGCGGUACCUGAUGAAUAAGCACCGGCUAACUCCGUGCCAGCAGCCGCGGUAAUUC
rnacentral:rRNA from 1 species